rnacentral:lncRNA from 1 species
GGCGGCCGAUUUCAACGAAGGUCGCGAGCUGGCGGCGGAGGCGACUUUGGGCGAGCGCGGCAAAGCGAGGCCAGAUAACGGGGCCAGCACAGUGAGGCGUCUCAACCCUCAAGGCGAGCGCGGCAAGGCCGUGGCUGCGGAGGUAGUCCGGCUCGACACGAGGCCGGAUGUGGAGGCGGAGCGAAGCGACGGCGGCUCAGCGGCGAGUGGAGAUGGAGGCGGAGUGAAGCGACGGCGACUCAGCGGCGAGUGGAGGUGGAGCGAAGCGAUGGCUGGCAGAGAUGGCGAGGCGCCAGCGGCGGCUUAACCCGGCGAGGUUGCAGGGCAGCGCAUGGAGGUUGCUUGAGGCAUACGCACGCGCAGGGCGAGGUAAGACGCCGAGGUGGAGCUGGGAUGGAGCGAGGCCGGCUCAAGGCGCGGUGAUGCUGGCGUGGAGGUGCACGACAAAGAGGCGUUGGGCGAGGCGGGAGCGGCGGCCACAAUGGAGGCCGACUCGGCGAGCGGGCGAGACGGGAGCAGCGGAAUUGCAGGAUAAUGCUGGACACUGUCGGAUAAAAAAAAACAUAACGGCAGCAGCACGCGCAGGUUCANNNNNNNNNNNNNNNNNNNNNNNNNNNNNNUUCAGCAGGUCAUAGAAUGAGAAUGGGAGCUCCUUCAUGCCACUAAAGUAGCUGCCGAGGUUGACGAUUUCACGGCCCGAAAAUUUCCUUCUUUAUCUAGUCCAAAGCUUCUG